rnacentral:tRNA from 1 species
GAGAUGCUAGUCCAAACAAGACAACU